rnacentral:rRNA from 1 species
UACGGGGGGAGCAAGCGUUGUUCGGAUUUACUGGGCGUAAAGGGCGCGUAGGCGGCGCAACAAGUCACUUGUGAAAUCUCCGGGCUUAACUCGGAAAGGUCAAGUGAUACUGUUGUGCUAGAGUGCGGAAGGGGCAACUGGAAUUCUCGGUGUAGCGGUGAAAUGCGUAGAUAUCGAGAGGAACACCAGUGGCGAAGGCGGCCUUCUGGGUCGACCCUGACGCUGAGAGGCGAAAGCGUGGGGAGCGAACGGG